rnacentral:rRNA from 1 species
ACUAUAACGCCGUUAAGCCCACCUGAGUAGUACCAGCUCACGCUCUAAACUCAAAGAAUUUGGCGGCUCUUCACCUCAUUAGAGGAACCUGCCCCGUAAUCGAUGACCCACGUGUUUAAUUACCUAGUCUUAAAGUUUGUAUACCGCCGUUUAGAGUGAGUCUUAAGACCCGCUCUUAAUUAAAUUAUCCAGUAAUUCAGGUCAAGGUGCAGCCUAUGGCUAGGCGGAGGUGGGUUACAGUGACUAAUAGCUUCGGAUAUUAAAUCUUAACAUUAAUUGAAGUUGGAUUUAAAAGUAAAUUUAUUAAAAAAUUGGCAGAGCUCUGAA